rnacentral:misc_RNA from 1 species
GGAAUAACAAAAAGGUGAUGACAUGAUAUUGGUCAAUGGUAUACAACAAAUGCAAUGCAUUUUAUGCUGGUAAAUGAUCUAAAUUUCUCCAAUAUGUCAAAAAAUAGUCAAAUAUUACAUUAAGAAAGCCUAGGGAAUAUGGAAUUAGAGAUGUGUUUCCCUCUGUAUGAUUUCUCCGAUACCACGAUGUUCCAAAACUCAAUAAAGAUCGUGUAAGAGAGCAGUUACAGCUACAAUCACAGUGAUGCCAGAAAGAAUCAUAUUUCCAACAACUUUCCAAGGGAGACAGAGCAUCUAGCAUUUCAUGGCAACACAAGCAUAAUGGGCUACAAGGCAUACAAACCAUCAACUUACAGGAACUAGUGUUCUGUAUUCCCUCUCUGUUACUGACCUUAUGCCAUGGUCGUCUGGGACCACGUCAUCUUCCAUACCUUCU